UACGUAGGGUGCAAGCGUUAAUCGGAAUUACUGGGCGUAAAGCGUGCGCAGGCGGUUCGCUAAGACCGAUGUGAAAUCCCCGGGCUUAACCUGGGAACUGCAUUGGUGACUGGCGGCUAGAGUAUGGCAGAGGGGGGUAGAAUUCCACGUGUAGCAGUGAAAUGCGUAGAGAUGUGGAGGAAUACCGAUGGCGAAGGCAGCCCCCUGGGCCAAUACUGACGCUCAUGCACGAAAGCGUGGGGAGCAAACAGG
rnacentral:rRNA from 1 species